rnacentral:tRNA from 1 species
UCCCUGAUGGCUCAGUGGUAAAGAAAUCUGCCUGCCAAUGCAGGGGACACAGGUUCGAUCCCUGAUCUGGGAA